GAUAAGUCAGAUGUGAAAUCCCCGGGCUCAACCUGGGAACUGCAUCUGAUACUGUUGAGCUAGAGUAUGUGAGAGGAAGGUAGAAUUCCAGGUGUAGCGGUGAAGUGCGUAGAGAUCUGGAGGAAUACCGAUGGCGAAGGCAGCUUCUGGCAUAAUACUGACACUGAGGCUCGAAAGCGUGGGUAGCAAACAGGAUUAGAUACCCUGGUAGUCCACGCUGUAAACGAUGUCUACUAGUCGUUGGGUCCCUCGAGGACUUAGUGACGCAGCUAACGCAAUAAGUAGACCGCCUGGGGAGUACGGCCGCAAGGUUAAAACUCAAAUGAAUUGACGGGGGCCCGCACAAGCGGUGGAGCAUGUGGUUUAUUUCGAUGCAACGCGAAGAACCUUACCUGGUCUUGACAUAUCUAGAAUCCUGCAGAGAUGCGGGAGUGCCUUCGGGAAUUAGAAUACAGGUGCUGCAUGGCUGUCGUCAGCUCGUGUCGUGAGAUGUUGGGUUAAGUCCCGCAACGAGCGCAACCCUUGUCCUUAGUUACCAGCGGGUUAAGCCGGGAACUCUAAGGAUACUGCCAGUGACAAACUGGAGGAAGGCGGGGACGACGUCAAGUCAUCAUGGCCCUUACGACCAGGGCUACACACGUGCUACAAUGGUAGGUACAGAGGGCAGCUACACAGCGAUGUGAUGCGAAUCUCAAAAAGCCUAUCGUAGUCCAGAUUGGAGUCUGCAACUCGACUCCAUGAAGUAGGAAUCGCUAGUAAUCGCGGAUCAGAAUGCCGCGGUGAAUACGUUCCCGGGCCUUGUACACACCGCCCGUCACACCAUGGGAGUUGAUUGCACCAGAAGUGGAUAGCCUAACC
rnacentral:rRNA from 1 species